UKKGSGGGSAKCUAUAMUGCAAGUCGAGCGAAUGGAUUAAGAGCUUGCUCUUAUGAAGUUAGCGGCGGACGGGUGAGUAACACGUGGGUAACCUGCCCAUAAGACUGGGAUAACUCCGGGAAACCGGGGCUAAUACCGGAUAAYAUUUUGAACYGCAUGGUUCGAAAUUGAAAGGCGGCUUCGGCUGUCACUUAUGGAUGGACCCGCGUCGCAUUAGCUAGUUGGUGAGGUAACGGCUCACCAAGGCAACGAUGCGUAGCCGACCUGAGAGGGUGAUCGGCCACACUGGGACUGAGACACGGCCCAGACUCCUACGGGAGGCAGCAGUAGGGAAUCUUCCGCAAUGGACGAAAGUCUGACGGAGCAACGCCGCGUGAGUGAUGAAGGCUUUCGGGUCGUAAAACUCUGUUGUUAGGGAAGAACAAGUGCUAGUUGAAUAAGCUGGCACCUUGACGGUACCUAACCAGAAAGCCACGGCUAACUACGUGCCAGCAGCCGCGGUAAUACGUAGGUGGCAAGCGUUAUCCGGAAUUAUUGGGCGUAAAGCGCGCGCAGGUGGUUUCUUAAGUCUGAUGUGAAAGCCCACGGCUCAACCGUGGAGGGUCAUUGGAAACUGGGAGACUUGAGUGCAGAAGAGGAAAGUGGAAUUCCAUGUGUAGCGGUGAAAUGCGUAGAGAUAUGGAGGAACACCAGUGGCGAAGGCGACUUUCUGGUCUGUAACUGACACUGAGGCGCGAAAGCGUGGGGAGCAAACAGGAUUAGAUACCCCUGGUAGUCCACGCCGUAAACGAUGAGUGCUAAGUGUUAGAGGGUUUCCGCCCUUUAGUGCUGAAGUUAACGCAUUAAGCACUCCGCCUGGGGARGUACGGCCGCAAGGCUGAAACUCAAGGUAUGACGGGGGGCYCCCGCGUCCACCAYURUAGU
rnacentral:rRNA from 1 species